CUACAACAAUAUUUUUCAGUGGGGGCAAAAAAAAAAAAAUAGUCGUUCCAAACGGACAUUGUACACUGUCAAAAAAAAAAAUUCUAAGAAGUGUCCAGUUCGUGGUGUGAAAGUUCUGGAUCGCCCGAAAACAUUUUUUAUAUCACAACACAAACAUUCGAGUGAAUUUUUAAAUAAUCGUAUUAAACGGUUCCGAGAUGAUCUCAAAAUAGCAAGUAAAAAAUGUUUCUAUUCGAUCGAAGAUAUUUAUGAAACUGUUUCAAGUUUUUACCCUGAUGCAAAGCUUAGAUUACCAUUUACAUUAAUCAGGACCGAAAUGAAUAAUUGGCAAAAAAAAAUAUUCGUUGACUUGUCAGCCCCUACUACUUAUGAAGAUUUGACAAAUAUGUUAUCGAGAUGUGAAUACUUGAAAUUAAAAGAGUAUGCUGAUGGCAGAUUCAUAAAAUUAUAUAACGUUGAAAAUGAUGCUUUAUUAUUGGGUGAUCCAGAAUUUGCUCAAUCUUUUAUGUUUGAUGUUUUGCAUGUUAGCUCAACAAUAAAAGUUGUUCCUCAUUUUGGAAAUACUCGUCUGCUAACUUUUUUAUUGGGUUCACACCAUCAUUACGUCUUUCCAAUUGGAAUAAUUUUAUGGUCUAGUAUGAAACCUGCGCCACAAUAAUGUAUAAUGUGCGAAAUUUAUUAAUACCUGGCAUUCAUCUUCGCAAAAUAUAUACCGAUUUCGACUUUAAAGGGCAUAUAAAAACAAAUUUUCCUGAGAGCCAAGUGUAUGGCACAUUUAAUAAUUAUUGCCGUAUAUUAUUUUACGAAUCUUUUGAAAAAAAUAUACAAUUUGUCAAUGUUGGUCAAGAAACUUUCUUGAGAAAUUGUAUGUCCCUGAUUUUAUUACCGAGAGAAAUGAUAGCUGAUGGAUUUCAAGAGUUAAUUAAUUCAUUAACACCUCAAUUGCAAAAUGAACUCUCGGAUUUUAUAAAUUACUUUCGAGAAACAUGGAUACAAAGAGUUGGGGUUGAAUCAAUGAAUCUAUUCGAAGAUACCGACAGCCUUAAUACAAUUCCAGUUUUGUUUUGGUCGUUAUUGCAUAACAACAUGAAUGAUAACCCAUCGCUAUGGGAGUUUAUAAAAGAAUUGAUAAUUAUAAUGAACAAGUCGAAAAAAGAAAUUGAACGCUUGAAUCAGAGUAGAUCAUCAUAUAUUUCACUAGCUCCACGAGUCAGAUUGUGUAUCCCAAAAAAGUUAAUUGUAGAUUUGUCGAAAUCAUUAAAACAAGGUAAAGUGACGGUUCAACUCCUGUCAAAACAACUUUACUCAAAAACAACUCCGGUCAGUACAACUCGGGUAUAGUAACACGCAAACAAAAAUUUUACUUGUCGCAAAAGAGCAUGCGCUAAGAUAGCACUUAUAUUGCAUGAAUGAUAAAAAAAAUUUUAAUAAAUUAACACAAAUUUAAUUAUUAUUUUAUUGCAUAAUUUAUUAAAUUCUAAUGUUUCAACGAUUAUUGAAUA